AGUGAGCGCUGGCGGUAGGCCUAACACAUGCAAGUCGAACGGCAGCACAGUAAGAGCUUGCUCUUACGGGUGGCGAGUGGCGGACGGGUGAGGAAUACAUCGGAAUCUACUUUUUCGUGGGGGAUAACGUAGGGAAACUUACGCUAAUACCGCAUACGACCUACGGGUGAAAGCAGGGGAUCUUCGGACCUUGCGCGAUUGAUUGAGCCGAUGUCGGAUUAGCUAGUUGGCGGGGUAAAGGCCCACCAAGGCGACGAUCCGUAGCUGGUCUGAGAGGAUGAUCAGCCACACUGGAACUGAGACACGGUCCAGACUCCUACGGGAGGCAGCAGUGGGGAAUAUUGGACAAUGGGCGCAAGCCUGAUCCAGCCAUACCGCGUGGGUGAAGAAGGCCUUCGGGUUGUAAAGCCCUUUUGUUGGGAAAGAAAAGCAGCAGGUUAAUACCCCGCUGUUCUGACGGUACCCAAAGAAUAAGCACCGGCUAACUUCGUG
rnacentral:rRNA from 1 species